rfam:Chelonia mydas contig31037, whole genome shotgun sequence.
GGAAGGAUGGUCCAAUGGUUUGGACACGAGCCUUAGAUGUUGAAGCUUUGGGUUCAAGUCUCUCUUCUGCCA